GUUGCCAUUAGUGCAAUUUGAAAGCAAGUAAUUGACCCCGUAAGUGCUGGCCUUAUUGUCACUUUUCCUGCGGCCAGGGUGGUGGUGGUGAUGACGAUGAUGAUGGUGGUGGAGGUGAGGGUGAGAGUGAUUCACAGCGUGCAGCCGGAGGGGGGACUGUCCGCCGCACGCGAUUCCAGCGAGGAAGACCCAGUCUUGGGGGACACUGCUUUGCCUUCACCCGCGUCGGAGGCCGGGGUGAAAAAGUUGGAUAUCGCCAUGCCCAGGGAGGAUAUCGCGGCGUCGUUGACACAAGCCGAGCCGCCGUUCCUGAUGCUGUGAUGGCCGCUGCUGCUGCCCAAGCUCUUGCUCGAUACCACGGCAUUUUGCAACACGUCCAGCGCAGCGUAAUUGACACACUGGUUGUGGACGUGCUGAGCGGAGAACGUGCGUACUCCCUGAGACGUUUCCCAGACGUGCAUCCAUAAGGCGUUCGCCGGUCCUUUCUGCUCGGGCUGAAUCCAAGCUACCCUCGGAUCCAUUCAACUUGGUUCUCCGGUGACCCCCCCCUUGUUGGGUAGAACGCCAGCGAGCCCGUCGUGAUGCCGUGUGCAGAGUCACCGACCCGAGAGAUGUCCCUAAAGCGUCUCGGGGACUACGAAAAUUACGCGUGCACCCGAGUUUGGACCAUGGGUAAAGUCGCUCCCACUACGCCGCUAGAUAGGGGGAAAAAGCUACGCUGAUUUCUAUUGGGAUUCAAUAUGGCGUAUUCUCUUCAAAUCUUCGCGCAUGCGCGGUAGCUGGGGACCCUUAUUCAACCACUGCGCUCUCAUUCGGAAGCCAUCGUGAGGCCAGCUGCGGUACUACAUCUGAAUUUAAAUACUGUAAAUAAAAAAGGAAAUCAUUAUUGUGCACGAAUUAACAUACAUAACAUACAUUAUAUUUGCAUAUAUUUAUCAAACACAAUAAAUGUACUGUGCAGUAUUCUAUACCUGUAAAAUUAUACAGGUACUGAAUUUGCACAAGUUAAAAAACUCUAUAAAUAAUGUAAUACUGCAGAUUGUGGCACAUGUCCAGCAGAACAUAACUCACAACCCAAUACACAUAAAGGAUGAUGGAAUAUGAAAUACUCAUGUGGGUCAUAAUCUCAAACCUUUUAUACGCUGCUCACGUACACCUGAGGCUCUCCAGUGACUAUAAACUGAAACACUGAAUAAUCAGAUUUCUAAUCUAAUUUCUAGGUAUCUCCAUUCAGACACGUCUGUGCACGGCAGGUGUUGUCACGCAUCACAAACACCCCCCAGUAACAGCCAUCUCCCAGCCUGCACGUUUUGCGCUUCAACUGUAUGAUGGAGGCGAGGCAUAAAGCUGCACCGUCUGGGAAAGGGAGUAGAAUGUGCACCAUAAAGGGGGAGUGAAGAAGGAAACCUCUUGCAUAAUGUCUACACUCGACCCUGGCUGCUCACGUGUAGCAUGUGACAGAGUCAAGGCAAAAAAAAAAAAACCCUGGAGCAAACUGUGUCAGAUAGGAUAUGUGGCUCUCUUGUAACACACCCAUGCAGGCAUGCACGCAGCUGCUCACUCCCACUGAGUAAAUAGACGCUUGCUUUCCCCUAUCUUUAGCUUAAUCUCACACUGCAGCAUGCCCGGGUAUCAACAGCGACAGGAUUCUUUCGUUGCAUGAGGUUUGCGAAUGCUGCGGCGCCUCUCUGUCAUCGUUUAUCGGAUUACCCACAUCGGUAAGGGCCGGACCGCAUCUGACAGAUGCGACGCAGGAGAGCAGCUUGCAGAUCGGGCACGACAGUACUGUCGGAUGGCGGGGAUGGAUUCAUGCAGUUUGUUUUGCACUAUGUGGCAUGAAUACUAAAGAGGCCCAACAUAUGUUCUGCAAACUGCAAGGCACUUUGAGUAAAACACAAUGCUGCAGCUUUGCGUGAAGGUUA